rnacentral:lncRNA from 1 species
UCAGCCUGAUCUAAGGAAGGAGACCACCUCUCUUAUUGUCUCAUACCUCAGAAAAAGAAUGAGGAAGUAAAAGUUAAAGAAAGGCAAAAAUGAGAUCAAUAGACAGCCCAGCACUGCACUUCAGGCCUGGUCUGGUAGUUAAAAAUCAACCCCUGACCUAACCACUUGUAUUAGCUAUAGAUUCCAGACAUUGUAUGAGGAAGCAUUGUGAAACUUUCUGCUCUGUUCUGUUCUGUCUUGAUUACCGAUGCAUGCAGCCCCAGCCACGUACCCCAUGUUUGCUCAAUCGAUCACGACCUUUUCAUGUGGACCUCCUUGGAAUUGUAAGCCCUUAAAAGGGGCAGGAAUUUCUCUCUCAGGGAGCUUGGUUUUUGAGACACAAGUCUGCUGAUGCUCCUGGCCGAAUAAAGCUACUUCCUUUCUCAACCUGGUGUCUGAGGGGUUUUGUCCACAGCUUGUCCUGCUACAUUUCUUGGUUCUCUGACUGGGAAGCGAGGUGAUUAGCAGACAGUCAAGGCAGCCCCUUAGGUGGCUCAGGCCUGCCCUGUGGAGCAUCCCUGCAGGGGACUCCGGCCAGCUUGAGUGACACGGAUCCUGAGAGCACUCCUGGGUAGGCAUUUGCCCCGGUGGAACGCCUCAACAGAGGAGUGCAUGGCAGGCCCCUGCGGAGGAUCAACGCAGUGGCAGAACACCAGAAAGGAACUGGCACUUGGAGUCCGGACAUCUGGAAUAUGGUGAUCAAGUGUGGAUCAAGGAUUGGAAUGUAGUCCCCUUGUGACCACGGUGGAAAGACCCCAGACCGUCAUCUUGACCACCCCCACAGCUGUAAAGGUUGAAGGAAUCCAAGCCUGGAUCCACCACAGCCAUGUGAAACCUGCAGCCUCUGAGACCUGGAAGGUGAGACCAAGCCCAGACAACCCCUGCAAAGUGACUCUGAGAAGGACGACAAGCCCUGCUGCAGUCACACCCAGAAGCUGACUCAUCUAUGCACAGCCAAAGCAUGAGGAAACUCAUCGUGGGACUUAUUCUCCUUAAAAUUUGGACUUAUGUAAUAAGGACUUCCACUGAUUUUCCCCACAUGGAGGACUGUUCCCAAUGUAUUCAUCAGGUCACUGAGUAGGGCAACAAGUUAAAACAGUUUCUGUUUUAUAGUUAUUAUUGUUGCGGGACAAUCAAAGAUGGGAGAGACCAAACAAAGUGAGUUCAGGAAAGGUCUUUAUUAAAAGAUGAUCACUUGGCUCAGUAGGAUUAGUGUACAGGAAAGUCUGAGCCCUGGACAAAGAAAGCAGCCACCUUUUAAGCAGUCAGUGGCUGGGAGCUACGUGAUGCAGGAAGCACACUUAGAGAAGCAAGAACAAAGGCAGUUGAUCAGUCUUUUACAUUUAUCUAUAUUACAUGUUCCAAAUCCUUGGGAAACCAUGUUUCUGUAUAAACCUUGUAACUUUGCAGCUGCACGGGGGAGGUGAAGCAGAAACUCGCUGAGCCUCAAGGAAUGUGAAACUAGCAAGUACAGAUAAGGCUCAAAUGUAUUACAUGAAUCAUUAUCAAUCUGUCUUGCAGGAAGACCUAGGUAGUGAAGAUGAAAGUGAGAACUCCCACUAAUAAGUGAGAUUCUCAAAGGGGGGGAAUGAGGAAGGAGACCACCUCUCUUAUUGUUUCAUACCUCAGAAAAAGAAGGAAGAAAUAAGUUAAAGAAGGCAAAAAUGAGAUAAAUAGUCAGGCAGCCUGGCCCCGCACCCCAGGCCUGGUCUGCUAAUUAAAUAUCAACCCCUGACUAACUGCUUGUACUAUCUAUAGAUUCCAGACAUUGUAUGAGGAAGCAUUGUGAAACUUUCUGUUCUGUUCUGUCUUAACUACCAAUGCAUGGGGCCCCAGCCAUGUACCCCAUGCUUGCUCAAUUGAUCACAACCCUUUCACGUGGACCCCCUUAGAACUGUAAGCCCUUAAAAGGGGCAGGAAUUUCCCUCUUGGGGAGCUCAGUUUUUGAGAUGCAGGUCUGCUGACGUUCCUGGCCAAAUAAAGCUACCUCUUCCCUCAACCCAGUGUCUGAGGGGUUUUGGCCAUGGCUUAUCCUGCUACAGAUCCAACUCUGUGUUCCUUCCACCAUUAUCCCAUAACCUUAAUAUCCAUUCCCAUGCCUGUUCUCCAGAUUGCUGUUUAUAUAAAUCAGAGAACUCCAACAGUUCAAGUAUAGUGCACUUCCUCAUGGGUCACACUCUCAACCUCAUCCUUAGGGGGCCACCAGGACUUUAGUUAUAGGUUUAGAAGCAAACAGGUGUUGGGGGUGGCCUCUGAGGAGACUCAACAUUAUCUUGCCUGGCAACUGGCUCAGGGGAGGACAUCACUGUUGCUGCAGGCAGCAUAGGGUUUUUCUCCUUGGACAAAGGUGGAAAGACUGAUAACAGCAUAGGUCAGGGAGGGGAUGUUGCCACUACUGGGGAUGGGGAAGCUGUUUCUUCUGGCAAAAAAGGUUCACCGGAGUUUACAAACUCAGUGUCCUCAGCUUCAUCAGGGUCCUCCCACAUGUCCCCAUUCCAAGUUGCCAGGUCGCAUGCUUUUCCAACAAAUGCCCUCACUUUAACAGUAGACACCUGGUGAGGCUGUGCAUGCAUCUUUCAUUGCUGGUCAGCCACUC